UUGUGUGAGGUUUCUUUUUGUUUCACAAAGCAGAGCGACCCAAAUCUUCCUCUUUGGGUCCACCAACUUGUGAAAUAAAAAGAAGCCUCACACAACU